AUGAUGUCGCAACCCGUUGUGGCGCCGACAAGCGAGGCACCAGAUGAUGAUAUGAAGUCUGUCAAUGGUUCCGUAUCUCCGUCUGCCUGUACAAGUCUGGGGGGUGGUGUGAUCAGACUUAAGACUACCACAGUGCCUGUUCUCGCCUUUUUUAGAAGUGGGGAAAAAAUUCAAGAUAUUGUUUGGCCGAAAACCAUAGAAAUCAAAGGAAGAGUGAAAUGGGGGUUUUUUAAAAAAUUCCUCAAGGAUCUUCGUCACUCUCAAAAUCGGUCAAUAAUGGUGAUUUCCCUGUUGUUGAAUGUUGAGUCUUCAAAAAAUGGCUUAGAGGGAAUGAAACAGGUUGCAAAGAUGUUAAAAGUGAACAAAAGAAUUGGUUUAGCAACAACAGAAGAUGGUUCAUAUAUUUAUGUAUGUCCUGGACACAAGGACAUAAUAACAGUCCUUGCAAAAUAUGGUUUCUGGAAAGGCGCAUCAACAAUCGAUACAAACCAAGACUCAUUAAUCGGUUUUGUUGUACGGGACCGAAAAUCACCAGUAAACACAAGCAAGGGAGAGGUAAGUACUGCGACAAUACAAGAAAUCAGGGGCACUCGCUUGGAAUCACAAGAAGUGAUAUGUGAUAAGCAAUCAUACCCGGUUCAUCCUCUUCGUGCACCAGUAGAUGAUGGCCUAUACUUUUGGCGUCCUCCCCUGGUACUAGCAGAGCAAGGCUCAUAUUGUCCUUAUCCUCCUCCUGGACUACUACGUCACGACUUCCAUGCUCGGCAUCCUCCUAUUGGACUAUCAGGUCAAGGGUUACAUCCUCAUGCCCCAGAAUGUCAAGGCGUCUUUCAUCAGCUUCCUCCCUGUGCAAGAGGUCAAGGCUUCAUUACCCACCGCACUCCCAAUUUUGCACUCGAAUACUUCAGGCCCUUAACAGAUCAUGGAAACAACAAUGGUUCACAACACUUGAGGCCACCUAGCGGUUCUGCUCCAGGUUAUUUGUGGCAUAGAAGGUCCGAGAAUAAUCUUCCUGGUUUUAAAAGAUCAGAAGGCUUCUCUGGCUCUAGUUCCACAUAUUACUCAAGAUUCGAAAAUGGGUCGAGUAGCAUGCCUCCCAACUAA
rnacentral:rRNA from 1 species